AGCUAACUGAAAUCAUUAUGAGUCAUUAAUUUGGUGAUUAUGAUAACAUAAGGGAAAAAAAUGAUAUUACCUUAUUAUUAGUGUUGUCCAAAACUGGUGCCAGAAGACUCGGUAAGACCAGAGACGCAAACGUUAGUCAUCUUAAUCAGGCGUAAAGGGUGUGUAGGCUGCUUUAAAAGUUUAAAUCUUUUUAAUAGCUCUUUUGCCGUUGUCCUGCCAUUAUUUAUUUUAUUUAUAAAAUAAUAAACAAUAAUGAAUAUAAAGGCAGUACAUUUUUUAAUUUUAUUAAUAUUAAUUUAAUUUAAUAAUUAUAAAGGGGACAAAAAAGAUAUCCCGGUUUAAGUAAAAAGAAUAAAAUGAAUUAAAGCUAGAAUCAAAUUGAGGAUAAACCAAAUAAUACUUAGAGUAGGGCCGAUAUCCGCAGAUACUAAGGGGAAUACUAAAGGUGAAAGCUUUUUAUCUACUAUUGAUUGACGCUGAGAAACGAAGGUGAGAACAGGAAAUAGGAUUUGAUACCCAGAUACCUCUCACUGUCAACGAUGAAUGGUGGUUGUUAGUUUUAAUAAAAACUGGUAACGAUGUUAACACGAUAACCAUUCCGCCUUGCGAGUACGGUUGCAAAACUGAAACCAAAAAAAUUAGUCGGUUUCGAAGCAAACGAAGUGAAGCAU
rnacentral:rRNA from 1 species